AUCCCACAAGAAUUUAUGUGAGCUUAUUCUUGCUAUUGGAGAAACUCUGGUCCUCACCUUUGCUCCAAGGCCUAGUCCUCUUUGUUACUUUGGGUUUUAGGAUACAGCUUUGGCUCUCUGGAUCCCUUCUCUGUUCAUGUCUGCAGCUGAGGCUGCUCUUUCUGGUUACUGUUGUGUGGCUGCACUCACGCUACGGGGAAUUGGGCCCUGCAGGAAGGAAGGGUUGCAGGAACAGGUAAGGAAGAGGAACAGGAAGGGCUCGUUCCAUACCCUGGUUGUGUUGAAAAGGAGCUGGUGUGUCAAUUUAAGUCCCAAUUACUGAAUUCCCUCCUUUGGGCAGCUGCAGGAACUGACAGAGCUUGAACUUCCCGAGUGUAAAAGGCAGGAGAACGUGCAGCUGCUCCAUGGCCGUCAGGACUUCCAGGCCUUACAGAAGACCUGGGUUUAGGUGUUCUUCUGAGGCGCAGUCCACAGGUGUUUUCUACUACGCACGGGGGCCCUGACCCUAGGGUGGUAUAAAUAAUUGUAAUAAAAGAACUUGUAUUUUG
rnacentral:lncRNA from 1 species